rnacentral:rRNA from 1 species
UAGGGAAUUUUCGUCAAUGGGCGCAAGCCUGAACGAGCAAUGCCGCGUGAACGAUGAAGGUCUUCGGAUCGUAAAGUUCUGUUGAAGGGGAAAAAGAGCGGAGAGAGGAAAUGGUCUCCGAUUGAUAUUACCCUUCGAGGAAGUCACGGCUAACUACGUGCC